CAGGCCGUGUGCUUCCUCGUUGGUACCAAGGAAAAAGAAGAUAAACCUCAGAAUCUACUGUCCUCAUGCGAUGGUGAGUGAGAGAAGCGAGCCUGUGAUCAUUGUCGAUGCCAGGCAAGAGCCGUCCAUCUGGGAGCCGAGCAACCGCCGCUGUCAGUGAGAUAAGUGUCUGGUUUGGUGAGGGCUCUGCUCACGCCCCACCUGAGUCCAGGUAGGGAAGCCCCGUAAGGUAGGAUUGGGUUUGUAAGAAAAGGUUCCUGACUAGCUGUGGUUAAGAGGGAGAACUGGUCCCUAUUUUCAGAGGCUGCUCAUUUCUCUGGUCAGGAAUGGUGUUUCCUCUGCAGCAGAAGGUUGGAUCCAGGAGGAUGACUCCAGGAAACGAGUUCCUUGCCUUCCUCCCACGUUUUUCUCUUUGUCUCUCUCUCUUUUCUCUAGUGUGUUGGCCAAUUCUCUCUUUAUCUCUCCUCUCCUCACCUUACCUUUCCUUGUGCUGUCUCCCUUCGUAACACGCAGGCAGGCGUGCUAGGUGUGCAUCCCCACAGGCUAGAUCUCGGGAGCCAUGGAGAAGUAGGAGUGGAGAAAAAUCCUGUGUGGCAGUGGGCACUAAAGUCAAGCAGUGACUGUUGGUGUGAACUUGGUCUCUGCUCAUUGAAUGGGGCAGAUGGAGAUGGGAUUGGAGAGGGAGGCCAGGAUGAGGGCCAGAUUCCCAGCACCAAUAGAGCUUAGUGCAGGGAUGGCUUAUGCUUGGCUUUUGCAGCUGUUCUCGCAUAGGAAUUGCACAGGAGCCCUAGCCACAGGAGAAAUGGCAGAGGUGGACCUGAGCAGCUUCGACAUCCUUCUAAGGAGACAUAAACAGUCCUCAUGUUUCUGCCUUCUGCAUAACUGGCUGUGAGUACCAAGGAAAAAGAAGUCAAGCCUCAGAGUCUACUGCCCUCAUGCGAUGGAAAGUGAGUGAGAGCAGCGAGCCUGUGACCGUUGGUGAUGCCAGGCAAGAGCCCUCCAUCUGGGAGCUGAGCAGCCUCCAGUCUCGGAUACGGGUAGUGUGCAUUCCCAGAAGUGAGGUCUCGGGAGCCCUGGAGAAGUAGGAGCGGACAAAAAUCGUGCAGGGCAGCGGGUGCGAGCGUGGAGCGGUGACUGUCGGUGUUAACUCUGUCUCUGUUCAUCGAGUGGGGCCAAUGCAUGGAUGAGGGCAAGAUUUCCAGCACCAAUGGAGCUUUGUAUAAUGAUAGCUCAUGCUUGGCUUUUGCAGCUACUCUCGCAGAGGAAUUGUCCAGGAGCCCGAGCCAGAGGAGAAGUGGCCGAGGUGUACCUAAGCAGCUUGGACAUCCUUCUAAGCGGACAUGAAGAGUCGUCAGCUUUCUGUCUCGCGCAUGACUGGCUCUGAGUAAGCGGUCAGUGCUUUGAAUUCCUCGUCUGUGCUCGCCGCAGUAUUUCUUCAGAGG